rnacentral:rRNA from 1 species
AAGUCGUAACAAGGUUUCCGUAGGUGAACCUGCGGAAGGAUCAUUAACGAGUUAGGGUCCCUCGCGGCCCGACCUCCCCAACCCUUUGUCUACCUGACCACUGUUGCUUCGGCGAGCCCGUCUGUAAUGGACCGCCGGGGGGUACCUUGAUCGGCCCUCUGGUCCGCGCUCGUCGAUAGCCAAACUUUUAAAAUCUUAACCAAACGUGUCUCAAUCUAAGUAUUAUUUGUUAAAUAAAAGCAAAACUUUCAMCAACGGAUCUCUUGGUUCUGGCAUCGAUGAAGAACGCAGCGAAAUGCGAUAAGUAAUGCGAAUUGCAGAAUUUCAGUGAGUCAUCGAAUCUUUGAACGCACAUUGCGCCCUUUGGUAUUCCGAAGGGCAUGCCUGUUCGAGCGUCAUUAUCACCCCUCAAGCCCCCGGCUUGGUGUUGGACGGUUUGGUGGAGGCCCCCUCGCGGGGCCACCGCCCCUCCCAAAGACAAUGACGGCGGCCUCGUUGGACCCCCGGUACACUGAGUUCUUCACGGGACACGUAUCGGACACAUGGGUUUUCGGGACACGGUCUGCCUCCCCUCAGGGAGAAUCUUUCUAAGGUUGACCUCGGAUCAGGUAGGGAUACCCGCUGAACUUAA